GAUGAACGCUGGCGGCGUGCCUAAUACAUGCAAGUCGAGCGAACAGACGAGGAGCUUGCUCCUCUGACGUUAGCGGCGGACGGGUGAGUAACACGUGGAUAACCUACCUAUAAGACUGGGAUAACUUCGGGAAACCGGAGCUAAUACCGGAUAAUAUAUUGAACCGCAUGGAUCAAUAGUGAAAGACGGUUUUGCUGUCACUUAUAGAUGGUUCCGCGCCGCAUUAGCUAGUUGGUAAGGGAACGGCUUACCAAGGCAACGAUGCGUAGCCGACCUGAGAGGGUGAUCGGCCACACUGGAACUGAGCCACGGUCCAAACUCCUCCGGGAGGCAGCAGUAGGGAAUCUUCGUCAAUGGGCGAAAGCUUGACGGAGCAACGCCGCGUGAGUGAUGAAGGUCUUCGGAUCGUAAAACUCUGUUAUUAGGGAAGAACAAAUGUGUAAGUAACUAUGCACGUCUUGACGGUACCUAAUCAGAAAGCCACGGCUAACUACGUG
rnacentral:rRNA from 1 species